GACGAACGCUGGCGGCGUGCUUAACACAUGCAAGUCGAGCGAGAGAAAUUCCUUCGGGAAGGACUCUAGCGGCGGACGGGUGAGCAACACGUGGGUAACCUGCCUCAUAGAGGGGAAUAGCCUUUCGAAAGGAAGAUUAAUACCGCAUAAGAUUGUAGUAUCGCAUGAUGCAGCAAUUAAAGGAGUAAUCCGCUAUGAGAUGGACCCGCGUCGCAUUAGCUAGUUGGUGAGGUAACGGCUCACCAAGGCGACGAUGCGUAGCCGACCUGAGAGGGUGAUCGGCCACAUUGGGACUGAGACACGGCCCAGACUCCUACGGGAGGCAGCAGUGGGGAAUAUUGCACAAUGGGGGAAACCCUGAUGCAGCAACGCCGCGUGAGUGAUGACGGUCUUCGGAUUGUAAAACUCUGUCUUCAGGGACGAUAAUGACGGUACCUGAGGAGGAAGCCACGGCUAACUACGUGCCAGCCGCCGCUGUAA
rnacentral:rRNA from 1 species